GAAUUCAACUCCUACGGGAGGCAGCAGUGGGGAAUAUUGCACAAUGGGCGCAAGCCUGAUGCAGCGACGCCGCGUGCGGGAUGACGGCCUUCGGGUUGUAAACCGCUUUCAGUACAGAAGAAGCCUUUUUUGGGUGACGGUAUGUGCAGAAGAAGCGCCGGCUAACUACGUGCCAGCAGCCGCGGUAAUACGUAGGGCGCGAGCGUUAUCCGGAAUUAUUGGGCGUAAAGAGCUUGUAGGCGGUUUGCCGCGUCUGCUGUGAAAGCCCGGGGCUUAACUCCGGGUGUGCAGUGGGUACGGGCAGGCUAGAGUGCAGUAGGGGAGACUGGAAUUCCUGGUGUAGCGGUGAAAUGCGCAGACAUCAGGAGGAACACCGAUGGCGAAGGCAGGUCUCUGGGCUGUUACUGACGCUGAGAAGCGAAAGCAUGGGUAGCGAACAGGAUUAGAAACCCUAGUAGUCCAGGCGUU
rnacentral:rRNA from 1 species